UACGAAGGGGGCUAGCGUUGUUCGGAAUUACUGGGCGUAAAGCGCACGUAGGCGGAUAUUUAAGUCAGGGGUGAAAUCCCAGAGCUCAACUCUGGAACUGCCUUUGAUACUGGGUAUCUUGAGUAUGGAAGAGGUAAGUGGAAUUGCGAGUGUAGAGGUGAAAUUCGUAGAUAUUCGCAGGAACACCAGUGGCGAAGGCGGCUUACUGGUCCAUUACUGACGCUGAGGUGCGAAAGCGUGGGAGCAAACAGG
rnacentral:rRNA from 1 species